rnacentral:rRNA from 1 species
AUGGAACAGCUCCAGGGCCUCCACCUCACACCCGUUCAACAGAAGGCCUGCCAUCAACGUGUUCCACGACACCAUGUCCCUGGUCUCCAUCCCACAGAACACAGCCUUGGCUUCUUCAACCAGUCCGCACUUCGCGUACAUGUUCAUCAGGGAAUUACACACGAAAACUGUCGAGCGGCAUCCGAACUUCACCGACUGAGCAUGCACGCGCCGCCCAAGGUCGAGCGCGCCCUGGCCCGCCACCGCGGAGAGGACGCUCGUGAACGUGAACGGGUUCGGCCAUAUCCCCUCGGCGCGCAUCCUGAAGAAGAGCGCCAUGGCGUCCGAGUGCGCGCCGCCCUGGGCGUAACCGGUGAGCAACGACGUCCACGUGCCGACGUUCCUCUGCGGCAUCCCCUCGAACACCAGCCUGGCAUCCUCCACGCCGCCGCACUUCGUGUACACGUCGACGAGGGCCGUGCCGACGCCGACGUCGGCCCGGUCGAGCCCGCACUUGACGCACAGGCAAUGCAGCUGCUCCCCGGCGGCCCUGCAGCAGCCCGGCAUCGCCCCGCACGCCUUGAGCGCGCAGGACAGCAUGGCGCCGUCGACGCGUUCGCCGCCGUGGCGCCGCGCGGCCGAGAAAUGGCCCAGCGCCUCCCGCCCCAUCCCGCGCCGCGCGCAUUCGACGAGGGCGUCCCGGCUGGAGCCGGAGCUUCCCCCCGCCGCGGCGUCCCGGUCGGGACUUCCGUCGAACGCCCGGCGGGCGCUCCGGGUGUUGGGGCGAUCGACGUCAUGCUCCUCCACCCGGGCCGACGAGGCGCGCGUGGCCAGCCGCUGGCGGCACGCGAAGGCCCGGGGGAGCGCCGGGAGCGCCGUCCUCAGCGCCAUGCUACCUCGCUUAGUCGCCGGAGCACAUGGCGGCGAGCCGGCGACGCGCGUGGCGGUGGGGAGUGGGAGUGGGAGUGA